rnacentral:lncRNA from 1 species
AGAUGGCUCAUUUUCUUGAUAUAACCAGAAUCACAUGAAAAAAUCUAAACCUCUCUGGCAUUACAUAGUACAGAGUGUUUUAUUAGCUGCAGGGGUCCCCUUAGUGCCACUAGGAAAUCCAUACGAAGAUGGAAGUCAGAAGACUAAAAUAACAAUAAUAAUUCUUUGCAGUGACAUGGCAUCUUUCAUCUGAAGAACUCAAAGCACUUAGCAGAUGUUAUACCCAUUAAAGCGAUGUGGCAAGCAUUAUUCUCCCCAGAAUACAGAUGGAGAGAGGGGGGACCAUACCACUGUCAUUCAGACUAAAACUGGAAUAAACAUUUAAUUAUCUUUGAGAGGAAAUCUUUCUAGCGUAACCCUUUCCUUCUGCAGUUUCUUAUUCCCACUGAGUGAAUGGGACAGGUCACAUCCUUCAGGCUGGUAUGUCUACUGCAGGUAUCCAAACAUUGUAAUGAAAUCACCUCCCUUUCUUUAUUUCCAGACGAAACAUAUUUAACUUUGAAGUCCCUUCUUCAGAAGGUAGAGCUUCUCUUCCUUUGCUUAUCCCGUUAUUUCCCUAAAACCUGGAUGUGGUUUUCAAGACCUUAACGACUCAGGGGACCAAUCUGAGAUAGGCUAACCCCAAACCCAAGAGGGUGAUUGACAGCAACAAAGGUGAAUAUGAAGAGAAAAAUACAACGUCCAUUUGUACACCAGACUCAUUUUUGAUAACACAAGAUAGAAAGAGGAUGAUUGGGGGAAUGGUGGGAUAUGAAGUAUGGUACGUAAAUUUAAUGGAAUAUCACUGUGCCCUAAGGAAUGAUGAAUGUGAAGGAUUCAGGCAAACGCAGGAAGACUUUUAUGAAAUGAUUAUAGAAUGAAGAUGGCGGAAACAAGAAAGCCAUAUACACAAACAAACCAAGUCAACAUGGAUAGAGCAACAAAAUAUUAGUCAAAUGCAAUAGGGAAGUGUGGGGCCCUUCUGACAGAGUUAGCAAACACGUUUCUCCCCCUUCUCCUGUAGUAAUAAU